UGGGGAAUCUUGCGCAAUGGGCGAAAGCCUGACGCAGCGACACCGCGUGGGGGACGAAGGCCUUUCAGGUCGUAAACCCCUUUCGGCAGGGACGAAGCGAUCUCGUGACGGUACCUGCAGAAGAAGCCUCGGCUAACUACGUGCCGGCAGCCGCGGUAACACGUAGGAGGCGAGCGUUGUCCGGAAUCAUUGGGCGUAAAGAGCGCGCAGGCGGCCCGGCAAGUCGGGUGUGAAAUCUCGGGGCUCAACCCCGGAACUGCAUCCGAUACUGCCGGGCUAGAGGUAGGUAGGGGAGAUCGGAAUUCCUGGUGUAGCGGUGAAAUGCGCAGAUAUCAGGAGGAACACCGGUGGCGAAGGCGGAUCUCUGGGCCUUACCUGACGCUCAGGCGCGAAAGCUAGGGGAGCGAACAGGAUUAGAUACCCUGGUAGUCCUAGCCGUAAACGUUGGGUGCUAGGUGUGGGCGGAUAUCGACCCCGUCCGUGCCGAAGCUAACGCAUUAAGCACCCGCCG
rnacentral:rRNA from 1 species